rnacentral:rRNA from 1 species
UACGAAGGGGGCUAGCGUUGCUCGGAAUCACUGGGCGUAAAGCGCACGUAGGCGGCUUUCUAAGUCAGGGGUGAAAUCCUGGAGCUCAACUCCAGAACUGCCUUUGAUACUGGAGAGCUCGAGUCCGGGAGAGGUGAGUGGAACUCCGAGUGUAGAGGUGAAAUUCGUAGAUAUUCGGAAGAACACCAGUGGCGAAGGCGGCUCACUGGCCCGGUACUGACGCUGAGAUACGAAAGCGUGGGGAGCAAACAGG